AUGUUGGGUGGUGUCGUGAUUGCAGAGAGACAAGCCAGGAGUAUCCCGUGUCUUGACGGCAGUGCGGCUUGCGUGGGUUUGGGGUCGUGGGGCACCUGUGAGCCUUGUAGUGCUGUGUGCACGGACACCUCUGUGCAUCCUCGGAUGACAAAUAAAAUCUCGCUACUGUUCGUACGAGGAAGCCCUGAGACAGGAGAAGCAAAGGUGAACAAACGAUUCGAGAGACUCACAGAAUACACGGUCGCAGAGCAGAGGUUUGAAGUCGUUGUACUUUUAUUGCAACAUCUGGAAACCCAGGGACCCACGGGGAAGGAGGCGAGGGCUCCUCGCCGGGGCAUCACACACCCUGCGAAACCGCUCACGGCGCCAGUUGCUUGGCUUCCAGCGGCCUCCCUGGGCACGCCCGGGCUCCCCCCCACCCCCCCACCCCCCCAGGUGCAUCGCGUUGCUCAAAUACAGCUGGGCAACUCCGGGGACGCGGGGGCACAGACCACAGACGCCGUCGCCGCCGGGGGCCAGGAAGGCUUUGGUCGGCAGGUUGCUGUCGGCGGGCGGGCGGGCUCCCGGGACCGGCGGGUGCCCGGGCGGGGGCAGGGCGCCCCUAGGCCCGGGCGGCGCGGCCAGCAGGCGGUGGAGCCGGGCGGCCGCCCAGUGCAGGGGGGCGCCCGCGUGCGCCAGCUGCCAGGAGAGCCAGGCGCGCUGCGAGGCGGCGGGCUGCGGGCGGCCGCACGGCGCGGCCAGGAAGGCGCCCCCCGGGGCGCGCAGCUCGGCCAGGGCCACCUCCAGCGCGCCCAGCCGCCGCCACAGCCGGGGGCCCACGGCCGCCAGGGGCUCGCGCGCCUCGGGGCCCGGCGGGCGGCGGCGCUUCGGGGACGCGGGGCGGGGCUCGCGGGGGUCUCGGCGGCGUCCGCGGCCGGCGGGCCUGGCUGGCGCCCGGGCCGGGUGGUCCUGCCCGCGAGGCGCCGCGGACGCUGGGCAGCGCCUGCGCAGGGAGAGAGGACGGGGUGUCGGUGA
rnacentral:lncRNA from 1 species